rnacentral:rRNA from 1 species
UACGUAGGGUGCAAGCGUUAAUCGGAAUUACUGGGCGUAAAGCGUGCGCAGGCGGUUUUGUAAGUCUGUCGUGAAAUCCCCGGGCUCAACCUGGGAAUUGCGAUGGAGACUGCAAGGCUAGAAUCUGGCAGAGGGGGGUAGAAUUCCACGUGUAGCAGUGAAAUGCGUAGAGAUGUGGAGGAACACCGAUGGCGAAGGCAGCCCCCUGGGUCAAGAUUGACGCUCAUGCGCGAAAGCGUGGGGAGCAAACAGG